UUCACGGGGCUGCUCUGGUUAACGUUGUCGUUGGUGUUAACUUGUGUUAAGAGGAGUUGCAAGUGUUGAUGCUGCUGAAGUUGCGAUUUUAAAUCUGAGGCAUCGGUGUAUAUGCCAUACUACUGAACGUAAAGGCAUAGUGUUCCAGUUGUAACAAAAUGAGAGCGAAGUGGAGAAAGAAGCGAAUGCGGAGACUGAAGCGAAAAAGGAGGAAGAUGAGGGCUAGGUCUAAAUAAACAGCAAGUGGGGUCAAAAUAAGCAGUGAGUGACUACAGAUCACUGCCUUGCCAGAAACCAACAACACAGCGGCCAGGAGUUUCAAGCUGUAUGGAGUGUUGUUAAAAAUCUGGGAUUGCUGUAUUGACAUUGACUUUUGUAUUUGCACAUUAUCUUAGUGUCCCAUUAAUAAAGAAUAGUGACUGUACAAAUGUUCGUAGUAUGUCAAAACGAUCAACAUGGAAUAGUGGGAGCAUGAUUAGAUAUUUUGAAAAGUGAA